rnacentral:rRNA from 1 species
CGGCCGCGUCGACAGGACGAACGCUGGCGGCGUGCCUAAUACAUGCAAGUUGAGCGAUGAAGAUUGGUGCUUGCACCAAUUUGAAGAGCAGCGAACGGGUGAGUAACGCGUGGGGAAUCUGCCUUUGAGCGGGGGGACAACAUUUGGAAACGAAUGCUAAUACCGCAUAAUAACUUUAAACAUAAGUUUUAAGUUUGAAAGAUGCAAUUGCAUCACUCAAAGAUGAUCCCGCGUUGUAUUAGCUAGUUGGUGAGGUAAAGGCUCACCAAGGCGAUGAUACAUAGCCGACCUGAGAGGGUGAUCGGCCACAUUGGGACUGAGACACGGCCCAAACUCCUACGGGAGGCAGCAGUAGGGAAUCUUCGGCAAUGGACGAAAGUCUGACCGAGCAACGCCGCGUGAGUGAAGAAGGUUUUCGGAUCGUAAAACUCUGUUGGUAGAGAAGAACGUUGGUGAGAGUGGAAAGCUCAUCAAGUGACGGUAACUACCCAGGAAAGGACGGCUAACUACGUGCCAGCAGCCGCGGUAAUACCGG